UACGGAGGGUGCGAGCGUUGUCCGGAAUCACUGGGCGUAAAGGGCGCGUAGGCGGCGCGGGUAGUCAUCGGUGAAAGUUCAGGGCUCAACUCUGAAUCGGCCGGUGAUACUCCCGUGCUCGAGCACUGUAGAGGCAGGUGGAAUUCCGGGCGUAGCGGUGGAAUGCGUAGAGAUCCGGAAGAACACCGGUGGCGAAGGCGGCCUGCUGGGCAGUAGCUGACGCUGAUGCGCGACAGCGUGGGGAGCAAACAGG
rnacentral:rRNA from 1 species